rnacentral:misc_RNA from 1 species
AAGUCGUAACAAGGUCUCCGUUGGUGAACCAGCGGAGGGAUCAUUAAAGAGUGUAAAAACUCCCUUAAACCAUCGCGAACGUUACCUGGACGUCGUUGCUUCGGCGGGCUCGCCCGCCGGGGGGACGCAACCAAACUAUUGCAGUCAUUGGCCUCUCUGAGUAUGAUUUUUUAAAUAAGUCAAAACUUUCAACAACGGAUCUCUUGGUUCUG